GACAGACAGACAGACAGAUAGAGAGAUAGAUAGAUAGAUAGAUAGAUAGAUAGAUAGAUAGAUAGAUAGACAGAUAGAUAGAUAAAUAAAUAGACAGACAGACAGACAGAGAGACAGACAGACAGACAGAUAGAUAGAUAGACAGACAGACAGAUAGAUAGAUAGAUAGACAGACAGAGAGACAGACAGAUAGAUAGAUAGACAGACAGACAGACAGACAGACAGAUAGAUAGAUAAAUAAAUAGACAGACAGACAGAGACAGACAGACAGAUAGAUAGAGAGACAGAUAGACAGAGAGACAGACAGACAGAUAGAGAGAUAGAUAGAUAGAUAGAUAGAUAGAUAGAUAGAUAGAUAGAUAGAUAGAUAGAUAGAUAGAUAGAUCGAGCAAAAUAAAGUAAAACAGCAUCUUUCAGUUCUGAACCAUGGAGAUCAAAUGGUACUUAAACGAAAGCAGAGUAACACUGUUGAAUGAAUUAUUUAUAGCUUUUAUUUUGACAUUCCUCAUACCACAGCACUGUUGGAUUCUGAUUGGUCAGAUGGUGUUGAUUCAUUUUCUAUAACAGCAGCUCUGACAGUAGUGCAGCUGCAAAUUCACAGGUUUACAUUAACGCUCUUGUUCUAAUACCUUUUUGUUUCUAUAGUAACAAACCGGAUUCUUUCAUUCUAAUUUUAAGCUUUUAAAGUGUUGUCAUUAACAAAUACAAACUUAUCGUUGCUAUCGUUGUUGGUGUUACGUUGCUGUUGUAAGGAAAAUAUUUAGCAGUUAUUAACGGAGAGACUCGUGUCAGAGCUUUGGAACAAUCUAAUGUGAUGUUGAUCCGUGCAGGGAAAGACUUCAGUGCUGAUGACAUUGUUGCUUUUAUGGUUUAUGAGUACUGAGACAGGCUGUAAUUUUUGUCUGAUUAAAUGCAGGAAAUCAGCAGCUGGUGAAAGGCUAUUUGUAGCUGCUGGGAAAAGAAUCAUAUGUUGUAAAAUUAAAGACAUAUUAUUCUUCAAUAAGCAAAAAAGUGUAACAGGCAGAUUGACAUAAUAUCAGCACAAUAAAAUAUUUCCAAUUCAAACCAGCUGGUCGUUAAUUAUUUUCCCAUUACAGCACACCCUGUAAAUGUAAAUAUCUUGUGUAGCUUCUGAAGCGCAGUACUAGAUGAAAAAAUAAGAUCUUUACACAAAAACAUAACAGUU
ensembl:lncRNA